rnacentral:lncRNA from 1 species
CGGGCCGAUCCAGGGAGGCUCCCGUUGCCGCCGCGCUCCGGAAAGCCUGAGGGGCCACCGUCGGCGCCUGGCGUGGCACUCGCCCCGCACUCGUCGAAGCGCAGGCUGAGCAGCACGGCGAGCAUUGUGACCGCGAGCAAUGCCACGAGGGACACGGCGAAGGCCAGCACAAGCCGCUUGUGUACGGCGAUGUGGCGCUCCGUGGUGCGGGGUCGCACUCCCACUGAGUCUGCCCACGGGUCGGAGAGCCCCCUGCCGCCAGCCCGAAGCGCGGCGUCGUCUUCCCCCAUCGCGGCUGCAAAGGCGGCGGCGUUCGGUCCUCUGGGUGGAAUGUGCUCGCAGCAGCAGUGACGGAGGCCACAGCACGGGAGGCACCCGAGCCAUACACCCUGCAGCUGGAGAGAAAAGGAUGGCCGAGGUGGGAGAGACUAGAGUGAACCAGCAGGAGGAAGUCCUAGGGCCGCGAAGCUACGACGGAGAUCCGUCCUGGAAAAGCCUUCUCCACCCUGGGCACUUUAAGCGGCGGUGGCGGCAAACGGCAGGAGGUUGCAGACCCGACAGCGAGCCUCCCUCAUUCCAGUCUUGCUCUGCCCUCCGGAGAUGACAAGUGAGAAAGAAGUGUCCGGCCGGGCCAUCCCCUUCAGACAGAAAAUCAAAGCUAUUUAAAGUAAAGGAUUUGUUUCAAAUCAAGGUAUGUCCACAAGUUAACAUUAAUGUUUACAACACUUUCUGUGAUAAUUGUGUCUUAUUUGGGUGUAUGUAUGUCUUUAUAUCUAUCUGUAAAGAUAUAGUUGCAAGUAGAUGAGAGACGAAUGUUCAUGUUUCUAUAUGGUCUGAAUAAAAGUGUUAUCAUUAUGCUAACCUGCAGUGUUAUAAAAUGCACCGAUGGCUCUUUGUGCCACUCCUUCAUUUUCAGUGGUUACCAAGAUAGUCAAAUUAAACUGCUGAUGUGAUAAUCAUCCAAACAUUUAAUUUUAACACUAUGAUUAUAGAAUUUUUUUAUUUCUAUGAGAUUUACCUAUAGUAGCUUUCUGUUUAAUGUUCAAUGUUCUAUAGCAGUUUCCUUUUAAAUGUUCAGAGCAGGAGCUAUACCCUCUAGGAUGUGCAAAUAAUCAAGUCUUAGCAACCUUAUAAAAUAUAAUCCACAUUAUGAAUCAAAUAGAAUGAGCCUUCAGAUCUGAUUGCCUAAGGCUCAAAAUGUUAAUGCUCCUGAAACGCCUUGUACAUAUUAGCUAGUUGAAAUUGCAUUAAAACAAGAGAACAAAUUGUAGUCUUGACCCCAGUCUCAUUUCACCAGCCUUUGCCUGCUACUGCCAACCUGAGAGGGGAGCUUCUGCUCUGCAGAUGGAUGGACAGCUGCUGAUCUUCACCUCCUGUCUGUUCCCACAAUUCUAAAAGAAUUAAGCCUGAGGAACUUAAUCUUCUGGUGUUCCAUGGUGAACUGACUUUAUUAAAGUUUUUCCAAAGUUCAGUGUUCUUCAGUUCUUUCUCGGAGUACAAAUUGAAGAGACACAGAGCCAGUUCCAAGUGAACUGAAAUUGUUUUGUAAAAAAUUAAUUCAAACAAUAAUGCCAUGGAAAAGCACCUUGAAUUUUUCAAUGCGCAGGCUAUUGAUUCUAAAAAAGAAACAAUUCUAAAUUAUCCACAUGUUCUCAUUUAUUAGUCUAGAGCUCUUGCCCAAAGAAUUAUUUGCCAAGGUAAUAUAUAGAACAUCAGGAUGAUUUACUUGCUUUUCUAAUACCAUUUUGCCCACAAACUCUAUGGAACUGAAAGCAUGUCAGCAGCAAAAGAAGGUCCACUAGCAGCUAUAAAAGAGAGCUCACUAAUGAACAAUAAAUAUCUAAAAGUAAAGGGAAAGGAGCCAAAUUCCAUUUUCAAAAGCCAAAAUUCUGCAGUAGGUAAAUAUCACAGAUAGCAUUGCUUAUUAAUUUAUAAUCACUAAGAGUAAUCUAUCAUUUCUUUAAAUCCUCAAAAUAGGUCUCUGCCAGCCACAUUAACUGCCUGCAGAAAAGUUUGUUAUGACUGCCUGGUUUUGUAAAGUCCAGACAACUUUACACUAAGCUGAAUAACGUUCAUUUACUCAAAAGCUAGUCUAAAAUUGUAGAGUUAAUGAACACUAAACCAAAGUUAGUGCUUUAACUGAAAGAUAAUUUUCUGUACCCUUUGGAGUCCAGUCCAGUACCAUCAAGAUCUGGGAAAAUACAACUGGUAAGCACUUUGACUUUUUCUCAGAAAAUCAUUAUCUACUUCCUUCAUACUUACUUAACAUCUCAAGAAAAGGAAAGAAAGGGGGGAAUAUCUAAAAUUUUAAUCUAAAUCUUUCUUAAACUGUGCAUUUCAAAUACAUAAAAUACUGUGUGAAAGGGUGUUAAAAGUAGUAUCUAGAAAUGGCUUCCAAGUCUAUAACUUGGUGUAAGCCUUGUGGAAAGUAAUUUACCAACGACUGUCAAAAUUCACAAAUCUAAAGACUGUAGCAAGACUCUUGAGAUAUCUUGUAACUAUUGGCAUGAUUCCUUUCUACUACAAUGAAAGUUUCUUCACGGCAGGAAACACAUAUAUUCGUUUCUGUAUCCACAGAGCAAGCAAAGAUUCUGGGACAUACUGUCCUUCAUACGCGUAUUUCGAAUGAACGAAGGCUCCAUUUGGUAGUAUUUAUCAUCAGCUUCUUGGCCCUUACUACUCCCUUCUUUCGUUUAAAGCUUAUGUCCUCUUCCCUGCCCAGCACUCUUUUUGGCUGUAUGCCUGAUAAGGGUGCUCUUCAGCUUGGCCUCCUUUGACUCUAUUCCUCCCCUGUUCUACUUUUAGAGUCUCAAGAAACUCUUGUUUCUUAUAGUGGAAAAAUGCAUUUAUAAAUCAAGACUGGGCAUUAAAUUUGCUCACUGCUGCUCAGGCAUUGUUGCUCCUGUGUCCAGUUGCUCCCAGUGAGCCACUCUAUUGGAGUUGGUCCCACAGUCAAGACCCUACUUUUCCCUAGCUCUAGCCUAGAAACUUGUCACCAGAGCAUUAAUCUACAUUUUAGAGGAUUACCUACCAAAAAAAACUAUCAUUUUUCCUGAAUAAGUAAUAUGUUCUAGAAU